rnacentral:rRNA from 1 species
GAUGAACGCUGGCGGCGUGCCUAAUACAUGCAAGUCGAGCGAACGGACGAGAAGCUUGCUUCUCUGAUGUUAGCGGCGGACGGGUGAGUAACACGUGGAUAACCUACCUAUAAGACUGGGAUAAUUUCGGGAAACCGGAGCUAAUACCGGAUAAUAUUUUGAACCGCAUGGUUCAAAAGUGAAAGACGGUCUUGCUGUCACUUAUAGAUGGAUCCGCGCUGCAUUAGCUAGUUGGUAAGGUAACGGCUUACCAAGGCAACGAUGCAUAGCCGACCUGAGAGGGUGAUCGGCCACACUGGAACUGAGCCACGGUCCAGACUCCUACGGGAGGCAGCAGUAGGGAAUCUUCCGCAAUGGGCGAAAGCCUGACGGAGCAACGCCGCGUGAGUGAUGAAGGUCUUCGGAUCGUAAAACUCUGUUAUUAGGGAAGAACAUAUGUGUAAGUAACUGUGCACAUCUUGACGGUACCUAAUCAGAAAGCCACGGCUAACUACGUG